rnacentral:lncRNA from 1 species
AGGAAAAAGAGAUAUGUAUUGGAUCUGUAGGUUAAAAUGUCAACACUACUAUGCCAGUUGGUGAAAUAUUGAAACAGCCUGUACUUGUUGGCAAAGGGUUGUUGCCCUGGCCCCUGCUGUAUCAGCGCUGUUUCUGGCCUGGUCCCCUUCCCAAGAGCCACCUUCCAUGGCAAAGUUUCAUAGACUAAGUUGUUUUGGGUACAUCAUGAUUGUGUAGCAUUCAUUCUUCUUUAAAGGUGAUUUUUAAAACAGCUCAAGAAUUAAUCUACAUGAAACACUCUAUUUUAGCCAAAAUGAUACACAGUAUGGAUAUGAAGAAAUGCUGAACACUUACAGUAACUCUGUGACCAAUAUGGAGGAAAGAUCAAGUGUUAUCUAGAGAGGUCCUCUAACAGCCAUGCUAUCUCAGAGGUAGCACACAAAAUACUCUGAAUGCCUGGGGAUCUGCUUAUUCUAGAAGAACUCAUAACCUCACAUUUUUUGACUACCUUCUACGUGCAUGGCUGAAAAGUCUAAACCCAUUCUACUACUUUUUAGCAGACUAAAUAAAUAAUAAAUGCUACCCAUCCAACUCCCCUGGGAGUGGAAACAAACUCAGUGAAUGAGCUCUAUUACAGUGAGAUAGAAGUCAGGGGAGGGUUGCUAGGGGAAGGAAUGCAAUCUAAAUUUAUGGAUAAAGAACAAUUCUUAAAUCUUUCACCUCUUUUUUGAACAAUAGGAACUCUAGACACUGGGUAAUUCAUAGUGGAAAUAAAAGUGUGGACAAAAAUAGUUCUGAAGAAUUACUCUGAACACAGUAAGAAUCUAUGCAUUUGACCCAGGAGAGUUAAAAUGUUAACAUGGAUUCAGCGGUCUCCCCUCCCAUUGUUGCAGCCCUCCAGUAGUCCUAUCAGCUUUAAUCAGGCUAGAACACUUCAUCAUGCAAGUGGUAGCAGAUAAUUAAUAAUUUCUCUGAGUAUUAACUUACAUCUCAAAGUUUUUCUUCCCAGGAAAUUACCUUUCCACACAGUCUGAGAGUCUGGAAGUCAAGUUGGAUGCGGGAGCAUCGUGCCCCCCUAUAGCAUACAGCAGUCCAUUCCAGGUCGUCACUCCUACGCCACCUCUCCUUUUUGACAUCUGUGCACACAGUGUCCACUUAUUAGUAUGAGGAUCAAAACAUUCUACUGAUUUGAGACAAGAACUUCCAUCACGACCACCAACU